rnacentral:rRNA from 1 species
AGCACGUAGGUGGGUUUGUAAGUCAGACGUGAAAGCCUUCUGUUCAACGGAAGAAUUGCAUCUGAAACUACAAACCUUGAGUGUAGGAGGGGAGAAUGGAACUUCUGGUGGAGCGGUGAAAUGCGUAGAUAUCGGAAGGAACGCCGGCGGCGAAAGCGAUUCUCUGGCCUAUUACUGACACUCAGUGUGCGAAAGCUAGGGGAGCAAACGGGAUUAGAUACCCCGGUAGUCCUAGCCGUAAACGAUGGGCACUAAGUAGAGGGG